rnacentral:rRNA from 1 species
GUGGGGAAUCUUGGACAAUGGGCGAAAGCCUGAUCCAGCAAUAUGGCGUGAGUGAGGAAGGGCAAUGCAGCUUGUAAAGCUCUUUCGUCGAGUAUGCGAUUAUGACAAGACUCGAAGAAGAAGCCCCGGCUAACUCCGUGCCAGCAGCCGCGGUAAGACGGGGGGGGCAAGUGUUAUUCGGAAUGACUAGGCGUAAAGGGCACGUAGGCGGUAAAUCCAGUUGGAAGUGAAAGUCGCCAGCUUAACUGGCGGAAUGCUUUCAAAACCAAUUUACUAGAGUAAGGCAUAGAGGAAAGCGGAAUUUCGUGUGUAGCGAUAAAAUGCAAAAAUAUACGAAGGAACGCCAAAAGCGAAGGCAGCUUUCUGGUUCUUUAACCGACGCUAAAGUGCGAAAGCAUGGGGAGCAAACAGGAUUAGAUACCCUGGUAGUCCAUGCUGUAAACGAUGAGUGUUCGUUCUUGGUCUACUGAUAUCGCACUCUUUCCGUCCGACUUAAGCCCAGCUUAAUGCUUAAAUUACCGCAAAGGUAGUGUGACUCGAUUGUUUCCUUCAAGUUCCAAUAAUCGUGAAAAAUAUGUGAUGAUCAGGGGCUGAGCUAACGCGUUAAACACUCCGCCUGGGGAGUACGGUCGCAAGGC